rnacentral:lncRNA from 1 species
CUUAACACAAUUCUCUUCCAUUGUUGAAAUUUUAUCAAAACUAGAGCUCCCAUCAUUUCAAUUGUGAUAAAUCCACCAGAAUUUUAGGCUUUUGCAGACCUAACAACUAUAAUGGUCUUCUCCAUCACUUCAAAGAUUAGGGAUAUGAAGACUUUUGCUUUUUUUCUCCAUCUUUUUUUAUUUUCAAAAUUUGAAUUUUUAGCUUCUUGAAGAAGCUAUUGGAGCUACGUUUUGCCUAUAUAUAUACACCCCCUAUUCAUUCAUUGGGAGGUGUUGGAGAAAGGGGGAUUGGAGACAUCAAGUCCCUAUUUGCUUUUAUUUUCUUUCUUUUCCUAAUUGAAGUCGAAUUUGAGUUUUAAUCGUCGGAGGAACUCCCUUAGUUUGCUACCCCAGAAAAGAUGCAAAUCCGCCUCUUUUUAAUUUCAUCUUUCAUCUCUUUUGUACUUUUUUUUGUUUGACUUAUGUGUAUGUGAUUUAUUCUAUUCUUAAAUUUUUUUAUUGUUGUUGUGUUUCGUUGCCUUUGCAAAUAAAAUGAAAUUCUAGUUUUUGUCAAUUUAGUUCCUGUAUGAAUAUACAAAUUAGCAAGUAAGUGAAUAUGUGAUGUGUUGUUGGCUUCAAGUCGGCCGCGAUGGUGUUGUCUAUUGUCUCUGACUUAAUUUCCUGGAUAUGAUUUUGUUUGGAGCCUAGAUUGAUUAAAUAUGUAUGGUUGAUUCCCUUUUUUGAUUUAUUAUCAAAAUAUAAGUUUGUGAAAACAUGGAAAAGUUUUCUCGUCAAUUUACUCCUCCAGUGAAUAUUUUGUUUUCUAUUCAUUUUUCUUGUUGUUUUGUGGACUGGAGUUAUUAACACAUUUUGGAGAGGUUUUUGGUUCUUAAAUAAAAAAGGUGGAGCUACCUUGGGCUGAUCAUGUCAAUCCGUCUUUGUUUCGCAUUGCUAUUUUCUCUAUCGUCUAUUUCAAUUCUUUGAAUACAAGUUUAUAGGUGCUCAUUUCGUUUAACAUGGCUGUCCAUUUUUUGCAACUUAUGAAACAUCACUUUGUCGCAAUUUUCUCAUUUAUUUUGAAGUGUUGUUUUGCGUGAAAUAAUGUUAAAUCCUUUGUUCUCUGUCUCUAUUUUAUUCAAAUGUGCUUAUGUGAAUACCUUCCCUAUUUUGUUCCAUUUUGUUUAAUAUGAUUGUGCAAAUGGGUGUAUGUGUGUGUCUUGCUUCUGUGGGGUUGUGCAUUAGUAUCANNNNNNNNNNNNNNNNNNNNNNNNNNNNNNNNNNNNNNNNNNNNNNNNNNNNNNNNNNNNNNNNNNNUACUUGAUCUUAAUUUUGACUAACAUGCUCAAAAUCAUAUUACUCAUUUUUGAUAAUUGGGAUCCUUUCCAUAUAUUUGACCAUCCUAGUUUCAUGGUCUUCAUAUUUUCCCUCAUUUUUUCUAUCAAUCGUAUGACACUUCACCAAUUAUACAAAUAUGUAUAAGCACUUCUUCCAGCAGAUUUCUCCAAAUCCUUUAAUAUCUCUCUCUUCUACUCCCGCAAAUGUUAUUCGGUAUAUUUUCUUCAUCCCCAUUACACUCUCCUCUUAUUCUUCUUGGAUUGGCCAUAUAUGUGUUAGUUUUCAACAAUGGACUCUAUAUAUUUUUUCUAGAAUAUUUCCAGUAGUUUGCAUUGUUGCAUUGAAGACAUCAUUGGAGGUCAUCAUUUAAAGGAUCAAGACUUGGUCACCCCGAGGGCACAAAAAUAUGCAAGAAAAACUCGUUUUGAGCACAAGCAAGGCCGUGUGUGGAAGGAUUGCUUGGAGCAUCGAAGACUUGAGGACUCACAGUUUUGGACAACACUUAAUGGGUCAUGAUUUGGUCAUCUUUAUUAAGGGUAUUUUGGUCAUUUUAUUGUGUCCAAAUACACUCCAUGGCCACCCCACCCUUUAAGGACAUUGUUGUCAUUUUGCCUUGUCUUGUAAUAGAAUAUAAAUAAAACAUUUUAGGUCUUUUUCUCAUUAGUUGUUUAUUUAUGGAAGACAAACUCUCUCUCUAGUGUGAGGAGAUUAACACCCCUUAGUUGUAGGGCUUGGAAAAGCCACCAAUUCGUAACUAGGCUGCCCAAGUGUGGAUAUCACUUGUGUUGCAUCGUUGGAUUGAUACGUUGGUGAUUAGGGAGGUAAAGUUCCUAUUUUGUCAAUGUAAGAGUUUGGUG